GACAGAGGAUGCAAGCGUUAUCCGGAAUGAUUGGGCGUAAAGCGUCUGUAGGUGGCUUUUUAAGUCUGCCGUCAAAUCCCCGGGCUUAACCUGGGCACUGCAUUCAAAACUGCACGGCUAGAGUAUGGGAGAGGAAGGUAGAAUUCCAGGUGUAGCGGUGAAAUGCGUAGAGAUCUGGAGGAAUACCGAUGGCGAAGGC
rnacentral:rRNA from 1 species